rnacentral:rRNA from 1 species
UGGCUCAGAACGAACGCUGGCGGCGGGGUUUAGGCAUGCAAGUCGCGCGUGAACGUCCUUCGGGGCUAUUAGCGCGGCGAAAUGGUGAGUAAUGCUUCGUUAAUGUACCCAUGGGACCGGGAUAAUUCCUGGAAACGGGUUGUAAUACCGGAUGAGACCCCAGGCACCACGGUGCCGGUGGUCAAAGGCAUGUUGCUUUCGGGCGCAUGCGCCGAUGGAGCGGACGAAGUCUGAUUAGCUUGUUGGUGGGGUCACGGCCUACCAAGGCGAUGAUCAGUAGCGGGCCUGAGAGGGUGGCCCGCCACACUGGGACUGAGACACUGCCCAGACUCCUACGGGAGGCUGCAGUCGCGAAUCAUUCACAAUGGACGGAAGUCUGAUGAUGCCACGCCGCGUGCGGGAAGAAGGCCUUCGGGUUGUAAACCGCUGUCGAGAGGGGGGAAGUAUUGACUGCCCUCUGGAGGAAGCCCCGGCUAAACACGUGCCAGCAGCCGCGGUAAUACGUGUGGGGCAAGCGUUGUUCGGAAUCACUGGGCUUAAAGGGUGCGUAGGCGGCCUAUCAAGUCAGGGGUGAAAUCCCGCGGCCCAACCGUGGAAUUGCCUUUGAUACUGGUGGGCUUGAGUGUGCCAGGGGUGAGCGGAACGUGUGGUGUAGCGGUGAAAUGCGUAGAUAUCACACGGAAGGCCGGAGCCGAAGGGGGCUCACUGGGGCACAACUGACGCUGAGGCACGAAAGCGUGGGGAGCAAACAGGAUUAGAUACCCUGGUAGUCCACGCCGUAAACGAUGAGCACUAGGCGGUUGUCUUGUUAGGGAUGGCCGUUGGAGAGAAAUUGUUAAGUGCUCCGNCUGGGGAGUGUGGUCGCAAGGCUGAAACUCAAAGGAAUUGACGGGGGCUCACACAAGCGGUGGUAGGAUGCGUUUUAAUUCGCAGCAACGCGAAAGAACCUUACCACGUCUUGACCUGCUGGGAUCAACCGUGUGAAAGCACGGGGCUUGCCCAUACAGGGUGUAACCAGCACAGGUUCUGCAUGGCUGUCGUCAGCUCGCUCCGUGAGUUGUUAGGGUAAGUCCUUUAACGAGCGAAACCCCUAUGAUUUGUUGCCAUCGUUCUGGCCGGGGACUCAAAUCUAGACUGCCGGGUGUAAUUAGGAGGAAGGUGGGGACGACGUCAAGUCAUCAUGCUCCUUAUGACCUGGGCUACACACGUCCUACAAUGGUCGGUACAGAGGGUUGCCAAGCCGCGAGNCGGAGCCAAUCCCUCAAAGCCGGCCCCAGUUCGGAUUGCAGGCUGCAAUUCGCCUGCAUGAAGCCGGAAUCGCUAGUAAUCGCGGGUCAGCUACACCGCGGUGAAUUUGUUCCUGAGCGUUGUACACACCGCCCGUCAAGCCACCCGAAUUGUCGCACCCGAAGUCGUAGUUCCAACC